rnacentral:lncRNA from 1 species
CUUUGCCACAUCAGUAGCCUCAGAAAGUUUUCUUGAUCUCCUUGCAUCUGGUCAGUGUUAAUAUGGAUCAAAAUAAAGACUUGUUUACACAGUACAUAUGUAUUUGUAUUUUACCUUAAGAAUGAAAGCAGAGGUUACAGCAGCCCAACUAUAUCUGGAUUUUUCAAGCAAGUGCUAGCCUGAUGCCUCUCUGUAAUGCAUUUUUUUCACUCAUUCAUCUUUUUUACCUGUCAGAGAAAUCUAGUGGACAUGGUUGUAAAGUGCAAAGAUCAUAUGAAGGGUCAGCACAAAGCUUAGAACAAUUUUGUAAAACCAUUGCAAAAUAUCACCUUUGCAUUUUAAACUGGUAAGUAUGUGACUGUAAGUCUUCUGGCAGAUCUCUCAAGUCUAUUAUUAGUAAUAUGUUGUGCUCUUUGCAGUGUGUCUGUGCUCAGACAUGUCUCCCAUGUUCACCUUACCUGCCACUCCAGACUCUCCUAGGAGUGCUUUUAUGCUCUCACAGCUCUGAGUCCACUGACAAAGGCCACAGAAAAUGGAGCUUUGUCACCCACUGCAACAUCUAUGGAUGUGAGCUGGGCUCCUCAACUUUGUGCAUCAUGGAUACCCCUCUGGCUUUUCUCUGGAGAGGUGAAAUAGAGCUUCUGGAAGCGAUAGGUUGGAGGUCACUAGAGAACAACAGGUUGAGUUUGAACAACCUCUUUGCAGAAGAGUAA